rnacentral:lncRNA from 1 species
CCCUCCACAUAAGUCUGUCAGACUAUGUAAAAAGUUAUUUUUGACUCUGUAAAAUGUAUUUUAGUUAUUAGCAAAGGGUAAUCUUGUCUUUUGUAUUUUCCUAGCUUCCUAUAUGUAUUGGCCCUUUGGCCUUAUCUCUAUCAUCAAUUCCAUAUUGCAUUUCUCUCUUCUUCUCCUCUCCCUUCUCUCUUCUUCUUCUCUCCUUCUGUCUUCAUAUGCAGCUGAUCUAACUUGGUAUCAAGAGCAAGGUUUGCUAAGGCCACAGCUUUCGCGAACCAAUAAAAUAUUCUACUGCGGCAUACCUCUUGG